UAUCCCAAUUUCCAAGUCAAAAUCCCAAAUCUAUAAUAUUUCUCUUUAAAAAUGAAAACUUUCCUUAAAUGGAAACUUUUAGAAAAUUAUUUAUAAAAUACAUCCUAUUGAUCAAAAAUUCUAAAAGAAUACACAUCUAACAACAAAAACUCUAUUUAUCUCAAUUUCCUAAUCAAAAUCCCAAAUCUACAAUAUUUCUCUAUAAAAAUGAAAACUUUCCUUAAAUAGAAAGUUUUAGAAAAUAAUUUAUAAAAUACAUCCUAGUGAUUAAAAAUUCUAAAAGAAUACACUUCUAACAAUAAAAACUCUAUUUAUCCCAAUUUCCAAAUCAAAAUCUCAAAUCUCAAAUAUUUCUCUAUUAAAAUGAAAACUUUCCUUAAAUAGAAACUUUUAGAAAAUUAUUUAUAAAAUACAUCAUAUUGAUCAAAAAUUCUAAAAGAAUACACUUCUAACAACAAAAAC
rnacentral:lncRNA from 1 species